rnacentral:rRNA from 1 species
AUGGGAACGCGAAGAACCUUACCUAGACUUGACAUCUCCUGAAUAGUGUAGAGAUACAUGAAGCCCUUCGGGGCAGGAAGACAGGUGGUGCAUGGUUGUCGUCAGCUCGUGUCGUGAGAUGUUGGGUUAAGUCCCGCAACGAGCGCAACCCUUAUUACUAGUUGCUACCAUUAAGUUGAGCACUCUAGUGAGACUGCCCGGGUUAACCGGGAGGAAGGUGGGGAUGACGUCAAAUCAUCAUGCCCCUUAUGUCUAGGGCUACACACGUGCUACAAUGGUGAGUACAGAUAGAUGCGAUACCGCAAGGUGGAGCCAAACUCUAAAACUCAUCCCAGUUCGGAUUGUAGGCUGAAACUCGCCUACAUGAAGCUGGAGUUGCUAGUAAUCGCGAAUCAGAAUGUCGCGGUGAAUACGUUCCCGGGUCUUGUACACACCG